UCUAGUGAUGAUGGCAAAGAGGUCACACCCGUUCCCAUACCGAACACGGAAGUUAAGCUCUUUAGCGCCGAUGGUAGUUGGGGGCUUCCCCCUGUGAGAGUAGGAUGUCGCUAGGC
rnacentral:rRNA from 1 species